rnacentral:rRNA from 1 species
AGGAUGAACGCUGGCGGUGUGCCUAAUACAUGCAAGUCGAACGAAGCCCUCGGGCUUAGUGGCGGACGGGUGAGUAACACGUUGGUACCUACCCCGAAGUGGGGAAUAACUGCCCGAAAGGGUGGCUAAUACCGCAUAAUACCGCAAGGUUAAAGCAGUAAUGCGCUUCGGGAGGGGCCUGCGUCCCAUUAGCUUGUUGGUAGUGUAAUAGACUACCAAGGCGACGAUGGGUAGCUGGAUCGAGAGGUUGACCAGCCACACUGGGACUGAGAUACGGCCCAGACUCCUACGGGAGGCAGCAGUAAGGAAUCUUCCACAAUGGACGAAAGUCUGAUGGAGCAACACCGCGUGCAGGAUGACGGUCUUCGGAUUGUAAACUGCUUUUAUAUGGGAAGAUUAUGACGGUACCAUAUGAAUAAGGACCGGCUAACUACGUGCCAGCAGCCGC